AUUUAUGUAGUUUAAAAUAAAACCUUGUGUUUUCAUCACAAAAAUAAAUGUAAAUUUCAUAAAUU
rnacentral:tRNA from 1 species